rnacentral:rRNA from 1 species
AUGAACGCUAGCUACAGGCUUAACACAUGCAAGUCGAGGGGCAUCAGGAAGAAAGCUUGCUUUCUUUGCUGGCGACCGGCGCACGGGUGAGUAACACGUAUCCAACCUGCCCUUUACUCGGGGAUAGCCUUUCGAAAGAAAGAUUAAUACCCGAUGGCAUAAUGAUUCCGCAUGGUUUCAUUAUUAAAGGAUUCCGGUAAAGGAUGGGGAUGCGUUCCAUUAGGUUGUUGGUGAGGUAACGGCUCACCAAGCCUUCGAUGGAUAGGGGUUCUGAGAGGAAGGUCCCCCACAUUGGAACUGAGACACGGUCCAAACUCCUACGGGAGGCAGCAGUGAGGAAUAUUGGUCAAUGGGCGCUAGCCUGAACCAGCCAAGUAGCGUGAAGGAUGAAGGCUCUAUGGGUCGUAAACUUCUUUUAUAUAAGAAUAAAGUGCAGUAUGUAUACUGUUUUGUAUGUAUUAUAUGAAUAAGGAUCGGCUAACUCCGUGCCAGCAGCCGCGGUAAUACGGAGGAUCCGAGCGUUAUCCGGAUUUAUUGGGUUUAAAGGGAGCGUAGGUGGACUGGUAAGUCAGUUGUGAAAGUUUGCGGCUCAACCGUAAAAUUGCAGUUGAUACUGUCAGUCUUGAGUACAGUAGAGGUGGGCGGAAUUCGUGGUGUAGCGGUGAAAUGCUUAGAUAUCACGAAGAACUCCGAUUGCGAAGGCAGCUCACUGGACUGCAACUGACACUGAUGCUCGAAAGUGUGGGUAUCAAACAGGAUUAGAUACCCUGGUAGUCCACACAGUAAACGAUGAAUACUCGCUGUUUGCGAUAUACAGUAAGCGGCCAAGCGAAAGCAUUAAGUAUUCCACCUGGGGAGUACGCCGGCAACGGUGAAACUCAAAGGAAUUGACGGGGGCCCGCACAAGCAGUGGAGUAUGUGGUUUAAUUCGACGCAACGCGAAGAACCUUACCAAGUCUUGACAUCCUCUGACGAACGUAGAAAUACGUUUUCUCUUCGGAGCAGAGAGACAGGUGGUGCAUGGUUGUCGUCAGCUCGUGCCGUGAGGUGUCGGCUUAAGUGCCAUAACGAGCGCAACCCUUAUCUUUAGUUACUAACAGGUCAUGCUGAGGACUCUAGAGAGACUGCCGUCGUAAGAUGUGAGGAAGGUGGGGAUGACGUCAAAUCAGCACGGCCCUUACGUCCGGGGCUACACACGUGUUACAAUGGGGGGUACAGAAGGCAGCUAGCGGGUGACCGUAUGCUAAUCCCAAAAUCCUCUCUCAGUUCGGAUCGAAGUCUGCAACCCGACUUCGUGAAGCUGGAUUCGCUAGUAAUCGCGCAUCAGCCACGGCGCGGUGAAUACGUUCCCGGGCCUUGUACACACCGCCCGUCAAGCCAUGGGAGCCGGGGGUACCUGAAGUACGUAACCGCAAGGAUCGUCCUAGGGUAAAACUGGUGACUGGGGCU